rnacentral:rRNA from 1 species
UACAGAGGGUGCGAGCGUUAAUCGGAAUUACUGGGCGUAAAGCGCACGUAGGCGGCUUGGUAUGUCGGGUGUGAAAUCCCCGGGCUCAACCGGGGAACUGCGUCCGAUACUGGUGGGCUCGAAUCCGGGAGAGGGAUGUGGAAUUCCAGGUGUAGCGGUGAAAUGCGUAGAUAUCUGGAGGAACACCGGUGGCGAAGGCGGCAUCCUGGACCGGUAUUGACGCUGAGGCGCGAAAGCCAGGGGAGCAAAGCGGGG